rnacentral:piRNA from 1 species
UACGACACCCUGAAGGGAAAUGCCAAUAGGA